rnacentral:tRNA from 1 species
GCCGCCGUAGCUCAGCCUGGGAGAGCACCCGGCUGAAGACCGGGGCGUCGGGGGUUCAAAUCCCCCCGGCGGCACCA